UUCCUUAGAUAGGACAGAAUAGCUAAAGUGGGCUGGAGUUGGGUAUUAUCUUUUCCCAUGUCAAUUAGGCUCUGGUAAAACUCCAGUAGCUUGGAUUCUGGUUAAAUAGUUUCUCCUGAAGGAAUACUUGAUUAAAAAGGAUACAUUUCUCUGCUAUAUUUCAAAAUGGUUCUUUUAUCCUCUUCCUGCUAGAAGCAUUGAAGUUUUUCUCUGAUACUCACUGUGAGAAUCAAAUAAAAUUCCAGGAGGUAAAACUCAGGAAAGUAUGACCCCUAACAUGACUGGGUCCUUCUGGAGAUUUUAUUUCUCAUACUUGUCCACAGGGAGCCUCCAGCAAGUCAUCAAUUACAGUUCAGAUUUCCCUACCCAGACACUGGUUCCUGCAGAAGUUUUAACUUGUGCGCUUCUGUUCCAGGAAGUUGUGAUUCUUAUUAUUCUCCUGCUGAUCUCUCUAAUUUGGGGAGCAGAGCAUUUUAUGAAACCACAACCAGGAUUACAUAAAACCAGAAAUUAAGAUUGGUCCAAUGACAUAACCCUACAAAGAGUACAGAUAGCAGAAUAAUGGAUCCUCAAAGAUGUCUGAAUCCUAAUCCUUGAAACCUGUCACAGUAAAAGGGAAAACACUUAUGGAUAUGGAGAUGCCACAAAAUUAGAGUAUUUGGGAUCGAAACCAUCACCUCACCUGCCUGGACUCACAAUGAGCAAUACUCUGGGAUCUUUUGAUAUUUGUGGAUUACAUGUUACUGAAAGCCAAUUUACCUGAUUCUGAAAAAUACCAAUGCUUAUUUCGAGGUAAGACAUUUACCAAUUUUACAGAUAGAAGGUCUGUGUGAGUGUGUGUGUGUGUGUGUGUGUGUGUGUGCAUGUGUUCAAGUAUAAACAAAUUGGUUUAAGAACCAUGGAUGAGAAAAUUGAUACCAUCGUGUAAAUAGGAAGAGGUAAUAUAAACAGAGAUCACAGAUGAAAUUUUUCACUGAAGAUUUCUACACAAAGCCAAAGCUACUGAUGUCAGAAUUUCUCUCUUAUGGGACAUAUCUUUCCAUGAGCUUCAGGUUUCUGUAAAUAUAGCUUAUUGAAAUUACCAGUGGUCUUUACAUGCCCUAUGUUUCAAAAUCCUAACUCAUCACUUCUCUCCCAAAAGAUUCUAUAUUUUUAAAUCUUACUUGGUGGUCCGUACCUUUCUCAGUCACUUAGUCUACAAACCCAGAAGUAUGGAAAUUGAUUUCUUUUUCUCCUCUUACCUUUUCAUCCAGACACAAAUCUUACAGAUUUCAAUUCCUUAACAUAUUUCACUUGUUCCUCUCUAAUUUUACUGCUCCUGUGGUACUUCAUUAUCUCUUGCCUG
rnacentral:lncRNA from 10 species